UCCCUGGUGGCCUAGCAGUUAAGGACCCAGUGUUGUGACUGCUGUGGCCCAGGUUCGAUCCCUGGCCCAGGAA
rnacentral:tRNA from 1 species